GGUGGUGCAUGGUUGUCGUCAGCUCGUGUCGUGAGAUGUUGGGUUAAGUCCCGCAACGAGCGCAACCCUCGACCUUAGUUGCCAGCAUUCAGUUGGGCACUCUAAGGUGACUGCCGGCUAAAAGUCGGAGGAAGGUGGGAUGACGUCAAAUCAUCAUGCCCCCUAUGACCUGGGCUACACACGUGCUACAAUGGGCGGUACAAAGGGUCGCGAACCCGCGAGGGGGAGCCAAUCCCAAAAAGCCGCUCUCAGUUCGGAUUGCAGGCUGCAACUCGCCUGCAUGAAGCCGGAAUCGCUAGUAAUCGCGGAUCAGCAUGCCGCGGUGAAUACGUUCCCGAGCCUU
rnacentral:rRNA from 1 species